rfam:Ictidomys tridecemlineatus contig079293, whole genome shotgun sequence.
UGAGUUGUAGCUCAGUGGUAGAGUACUUGUCUAUCAUGUGUGAGGCACUAGGUUUGAUUCUUAGCACCACAU